rnacentral:antisense_RNA from 1 species
GGUGUCUGAACCAGCAAGGCAUCCCGGUCUUCGAUUUCGCCCCCGAUAUGGUAAGGCAGUCCACAGUUGGCGAAUGAGAUGAAGCUGUCGCGUUCAAACACGAUGAUGUCAGCGUCUUCACUAAGGCGUCUCGCUCGAGCCGCCGCCGAUGCACCGCCGGCGACGCCGC